rnacentral:lncRNA from 1 species
UCUAUCCAAACUAUAUCACCUCUCUUGAUAGUUUUUUCUUGUAUCUUUUGCUUUUUCUUCUCUACUGGAUUUUUCUGAGCACAACUUAAACAUUCUUCACAUUCCCACCUUAAAAUAACCACUUGACCCUACUAGCUACAGCUCCCUCUCUCUCCACUACCUUAAACAAGCCUUUUUGAAGGGUUGUCUGUUCUUGCCUUCUUGCCAUGUAAGAUGUGCCUUUGCUUCUCUUUUGCUUGUCGCCACGAUUCUAAGUUUCCUGAGGCCUCCCCAACCAUGUGGAACUGUGAGUCAAUUAAACCUUGCUCCUUUCAAAAUUACCCAGUCUUGGGUAUUUCCUUAUAGCUGUGUGAGAAUGGACUAAAAUACUCAUCAAUAAAUCCAGUGGACACUUACAGCUCUGUCUUUAGUGACUCUCACUGUUUCCUUACUCUCCCCAAAGCUUGGCUUCUCGAUU